CACCAGCGCCACGAGUGGGAAUCGUAUAUUUGGUCUAAAGCGUCCGUAGCUGGUCGUGUAAAUCUUUUGUGAAAUCGUUAUGGCUUAACCUAACGAAGCGCAGAAGACACUGCAUGACUUGGGACCAGGAGGGGUUAGAAGUAUUCUUUGGGGAGCGGUAAAAUGUUAUAAUCCAAAGAAGACUACCUGUGGCGAAGGCGUCUAACCAGAAUGGAUCCGACAGUGAGGGACGAAAGCAAGGGGAG
rnacentral:rRNA from 1 species